AAGGGGGGUUUUGCUUUAGUACGGCGAGUGAAGCGGCAAAAGCUCAAAUUUGAAAUCUGGUACCUUCGGUGCCCGAGUUGUAAUUUGGAGAGGGCAACUUUGGGGCCGUUCCUUGUCUAUGUUCCUUGGAACAGGACGUCAUAGAGGGUGAGAAUCCCGUGUGGCGAGGAGUGCGGUUCUUUGUAAAGUGCCUUCGAAGAGUCGAGUUGUUUGGGAAUGCAGCUCUAAGUGGGUGGUAAAUUCCAUCUAAAGCUAAAUAUUGGCGAGAGACCGAUAGCGAACAAGUACAGUGAUGGAAAGAUGAAAAGAACUUUGAAAAGAGAGUGAAAAAGUACGUGAAAUUGUUGAAAGGGAAGGGCAUUUGAUCAGACAUGGUGUUUUGUGCCCUCUGCUCCUUGUGGGUAGGGGAAUCUCGCAUUUCACUGGGCCAGCAUCAGUUUUGGUGGCAGGAUAAAUCCAUAGGAAUGUAGCUUGCCUCGGUAAGUAUUAUAGCCUGUGGGAAUACUGCCAGCUGGGACUGAGGACUGCGACGUAAGUCAAGGAUGCUGGCAUAAUGGUUAUAUGCCGCCCGUCUUGAACCCCCGAAACC
rnacentral:rRNA from 1 species